CACGUAGGGGGCAAGCGUUGUCCGGCUUCAUUGGGCGUAAAGAGCUCGUAGGCGGUUCGAUAAGUCGGGUGUGAAACCUCCAGGCUCAACCUGGAGACGCCACCCGAUACUGUCGUGACUAGAGUCCAGUAGGGGAGCGUGGAAUUCCUGGUGUAGGGGUGAAAUGCGCAGAUAUCAGGAGGAACACCAGCGGCGAAGGCGGCGCUCUGGGCUGGAACUGACGCUGAGGAGCGAAAGCGUGGGGAGCGAACAGG
rnacentral:rRNA from 1 species